rnacentral:lncRNA from 1 species
AUGGAGAGGGUCACCGAGGCAAGGGCCCUCCGGGCUUGGGCUCGCACGGAAAAGGUUUCCUCUUACCCGUUUGGUUUCUGCCGCCCCGCCGAGCUGGCUUCCCAGUUUGGGGAGCUGCCCGUUUCUCAUGCUCUUUCAACCUCUUUCCUUACUAACUGCAGCCUCCCGGAGCCAAGCCGCCAUUCAGGACCUGGUGCCGGGGUCCCUCCCUUCCCCCUCUUUCCUCUGGGGCCUCACUUCGGAGGCGGGGGCGGAACCCUGGGCAGGAAGGAGGGGAAGCAAGUGGCUGCCCGGUUCCCGAGGCUUCCCCGCGGCUUCUCGGCCCCCUCCCCCCACGGAAACUCAGCCUCACACUUUCUAGGGAUGUUCCGGGGACAGCCUGAGUCGGAGACUGCAGUUCGUCAGCCUCGGGCGUCGGUGUUGGGCUCUCCGAAGGGAGUCCGCGGUCCUGAGCGNNNNNNNNNNNNNNNNNNNNNNNNNNNNNNNNNNNNNNNCCCAGCCCGCCGCCCGGGAGCCCGGCGCCCCUCCGUGCCUGCCUCCCCUCCCACCCUCUUUCCGACUUCCAGCUGGGACCCGCCAUUGCGCGGCCAGGCCUUGGCAAGCUGCAGACCCAAGCCGGAGCCUCGAGCCCGUGACUGCGCUCCCUCCGCCACUCGCCGCGGGCGCUGCCCCGGGGGAAGCCGACGUCCCCGGUCGGCGAAGCCGGAGGCCCCGGCGCCGCGGCGUUGUUCGCGGGGAGCGGGGAGCGGGCGGCCGGCAGGGGCUGCUGCCGCCGCGGUGCUGACGCGGGGAGCGGAGUCGCGGGGACUCGGGGCGGUCCUCGGAGGCCGUGGCGCUGAGCCCGGACCCCGGGACGGGGGUGCAGGGCCGACCCGGCCGCGGGAGCCGUCCCCGGGGUGUGCUGCAGCCAGGAGCCCGCGGCGCCCCCCGCCUCUCCCGGAGGGGCCGGAGGCGGCCGAGAGCUGCCGGAGAAGCGGGGCCUGCGGCCGGGGUCGCCGCGGCGAAGCUGCUCGAAGCUGCUCGAAGCUGCUGGGCGGAGGGCGGCGGCCGGGCGGCCGCGAGCGAGCGCGCGUUCUACGAACCUGUUGGAGGCUGCAGCUCCUCCGCGGCCGACGCGGGCGCCCGGACCGAGGUUCCGGCGCGCGUCCUCCCCCUUCCGCACUCCUCCGCCGGGGCGCUGCCUCCUGCCUGGGCUAG